rnacentral:rRNA from 1 species
GACGAACGCUGGCGGCGUGCUUAACACAUGCAAGUCGAACGGAAAGGCCCUGCUUUUGUGGGGUGCUCGAGUGGCGAACGGGUGAGUAACACGUGAGUAACCUGCCCUUGACUUUGGGAUAACUUCAGGAAACUGGGGCUAAUACCGGAUAGGAGCUCCUGCUGCAUGGUGGGGGUUGGAAAGUUUCGGCGGUUGGGGAUGGACUCGCGGCUUAUCAGCUUGUUGGUGGGGUAGUGGCUUACCAAGGCGUUGACGGGUAGCCGGCCUGAGAGGGUGACCGGACAGGUUGGGACUGAGAUACGGCCCAGACUCCUACGGGAGGCAGCAGUGGAGAAUAUUGCACAAUGGGCGGAAGCCUGAUGCAGCAACGCCGCGUGCGGGAUGACGGCCUUCGGGUUGUAAACCGCUUUCGCCUGUGACGAAGCGUGAGUGACGGUAAUGGGUAAAGAAGCACCGGCUAACUACGUG